rnacentral:rRNA from 1 species
UGGGGCGCAGCAGGCGCGAAAACUCUGCAAUACACGAAAGUGUGACAGGGCUAUCCCGAGUGCCGUCCGCUGAGGAUGGCUUUUCUCCAGUGUAAGGAGCUGGAGGAAUAAGGAGAGGGCAAGUCUGGUGUCAGCCGCCGCGGUAAUACCAGCUCUCCGAGUGGUAGGGAUGCUUAUUGGGCUUAAAGCGUCCGUAGCCGGCUCAGAAAGUCCUCCGUUAAAUCCAGCGAUUUAAUCGUUGGACUGCGGGGGAUACUGUUGGGCUAGGGGACGGGAGAGGCCGACGGUAUUCUCGGAGUAGGGGUGAAAUCCUAUAAUUCCGGGAGGACCACCAGUGGCGAAGGCUGUCGGCUAGGACGAGCUCGACGGUGAGGGACGAAAGCUGGGGGAGCGAACCGGAUUAGAUACCCGGGUAGUCCCAGCUGUAAACGAUGCGGGCUAGGUGUUAGGGUGGCUACGAGCCACUCUAGUGCCGCAGCGAAGGGCAUUAAGCCCGCCGCCUGGGGAGUACGGGCCGCAAGGCUGAAACUUAAAGGAAUUGGCGGGGGAGCACCCACAAGGCGUGAAGCGUGCGGUUUAAUUGGAGUCAACACCGGAAACCUUACCGGGGGCGACAGCAGAUUGAAGGCCAGAUUGACGAUCUUGCCAGACAAGCUGAGAGGAGGUGCAUGGCCGUCGCCAGUUCGUGCCGUGAGGUGUCCUGUUAAGUCAGGCAACGAUCGAGACCCACGCUCCCUGUUGCUACUAAGGAAAGUUUCCAAGGAGCACUCUGGGAGGACAGCCGUCGACAAGACGGAGGAAGGAGUGGGCCACGGCAGGUCAGUAUGCCCCGAAUCCCCCGGGCCACACGCGUGCUGCAACGGCUGGUACAAUGGGUUCCUACCUCGAGAGAGGACGGUAAUCCUUAAAGCCAGCCGUAGUUUGGAUCGAGGGCUGCAACCCGCCCUCGUGAAGCUGGAAUGCCUAGUAAUCGCGUGUCAUUAACGCGCGGCGAAUACGUCCCUGCUCCUUGCACGAAUUCGCCGA